UUGGAGACCGCCACGAUCGAUCGAUCGAUCAAUCGACGAAGCCUGCCAUGAAAUGGGCGGAAUCAGCAUUGAUAAUGAUGAUGAUGGUGGUGAUGCUGAUGAGGACGAGGAGGAGGAGGCGAUGUUGGAGUCGUCGAUGACUCCCAGCCUAUAGCAGAUCUCUUGUUCUCGUCGUUCCAAUUUGUGUCGAUCAUUUGUAUGUUCGUUGGGUGAGUGUUUCCGCUAGAUUUCUCUGCUCUCCAUCUUUCAGCAAGCUCGUUGUCCAUGGGAUCUGAGCUUCACACUAGGGAUCGGUGAGAGGCACCAGCCGAUUGCAUCGAGGUACCACCCACAUCCUCCGGUGAAACCCACCAUCAUUCCUCCAUCCAUGGGUACUGUGAACUGGGUUCCUUCCUCGACACCAAAAGUCCUCUUAUUGCUCAUGAAUGCAAGCGACCUGAUGACAGGAGAACCACCAUAUACUACAUGGCAGUAGUGGCGACUUCAUCAGGUACUCCAAUUUAAUCUGCAUGGUUGUAGGUUCCAUUUAACAUGCAUGAG